GUAGGGCCAACGUCCCCUCCUCCAACACCCAUCUCUACCAGGCUCUCCGGAGCUGCUGGGUAGAGCCUCCCAAAAUCUCAGUGCCCAGCCCCCAUCACCCGGGGGCUGGGUGGCCAAGCUGAGUUAAGCUAGAAAGAACAGGAGAGUUCAGGAAGGAACAUGUGUCUCAGCUAACAGGGCAGGGUAGACUGUGCUGGAAUGGUGGAAUAAGCUGAAUGCUGUCUGAACAGGGGCAUGGUGUGACUCCUUCCGAGAGAUCAGAAAUGCCACAGAAAGGACAACGAGGUAGAAGGUACUAAGAACCAGGAGGCAAGGCUCCAGGCUUCAUUCUGUCAUGACCAGUAAACUCGAGACCUCUGCCAGUCCUCCCAGAUCCCACAUUCCAAAACAUCAUGGUCUCUUCUCCUGUCUGCCCGGAUCCAAUGGACGCUGGUCUUCCUUCCUCUGGCAAGCUCCUGCCAGCUCAGGAUCCUGCCAGGAUGCCCAAUGCCCACAGCCUCAUCUCCAGAUCUAGUCUUGCUAUGAGCCCAGCUGCAGCGGCCCUGAGCCGUCACUAAACUGAGCAGACCCCACCCUGCCUUCUCCGCAUCAGGAUUAGAGGUUAGGGAAGGGUCAUGAGAGCAGAUUUCCUGCUGUCGCUUCCAUCGGACCAGACUGAGACGAGACGAGAAGGAAGGCGUGUGGUGGCAGCCAUGGGCGCAGUGGGGGAAGCAGGACUGGCCACCAAACAGAUUAUUGUGGACGCAUGCGGGUCUGGGCAAGCUAUUUGCCAACACGGCUUGCAUCUCAGGCUGAUGUUGGCAGAAGCCCAGGGUCUCGGCCUGCAAGACGCUGGGGAAGAACAUCUACCAACCCUGUUCUCCUUAAAAGGAGAGCUCCUCCUCAAACAGGCACACAGGACACAGCCGUGGGGGUGGAGAACCAGCCAGCAGCUACCAACAAGCAGGACAUAGCUUCCAGCCCAGGAGGAGUUUAGUGUUUCAAACCACACAUCACAAAUCAUUUCCUCUGCACAUUCCUUGGAAGUUUGGGGGCAUUAACUCUCCAUCUUAUCUUUCCUAGGGUGGAUGCCAGGAGCUGGCCCUAGUGAUGUUUGCAUUUGAACAACAGUGAGAUUGGGUGUCAGCUGCCCCAGGGGCGCGGAGGAAGAUGAAGAAAUGGAGCAGGCUGUCUCCAGGCAAAGGAGGAGAGAAGGGCAGAAUCCGGAUGGUAUGGAAUGAACAGCAAGGGAGGGAAGCGGAAAGGGGAACUGGGAUUUGCUACUGCUCUAUCAAAUUACAGUGUGCAAAGCUAGCUCCAGGUGGUGGGCUCCUGAGUGUCACCGCCAGGGUACAAACCUCAGUUGUGCCCUCUACUUACUGUGUGACCAUGUGUGAAUGGGCAAACUCUCUGAACUUGAGUUUGCCUCUCAGCAAAACAGUACCUACUUCCUGGGACUGUCAGGGGCACUGAAUGAGAUGACAAGCGACCCUUAGCCCAGCACCUGGUACACAGCAAACACUCCAUCCGAUCCGGACACGAUUAUCAUUCUGCCAGAACUUCUGUGAAAUUUGGUUACAGGUCUGCACUCCUGAGCGAUGAAAGGGCACAGGCCUCAGAAAUAAGAAGACCCAGGUUGAAAAAUGGCUCUGCCACCUAUGACGACCACCUUCUUGAGUUUUCUGGGCCUCAGGCUCCCCCUGGAAAAUGGAGAUAAAGUAAACAACCGCAGAGGACUGCAGUGAGAAAUGAAGCACACGGUGUUUGUAAAGUGCUUGGAGCAGCACUGGCAUGUCCCCCACUAGGUGAGGCCACAGCAAGGAGAUAGUCAUCUGCAACACAGGAAGAGGAGCUCCACCAUAACCUGCUCGUGCUGGCCCCUUGAUCUCAGGUGUCCAGCCCCCAGAACUACGAGAAAUAAAUGACUGAUGAGCAAGCUUCCCCCUCCCCACCCCCGCCAUCUGUGGCAUUUUAUUAUGGGAGCCUGGACUCAUACAGGUGUUAUAUGAUUAGAACUGACAGACACCGAAGCUGGCUGAUUCAAGGGCGAGGUCCAGGCUGGAGAUGCAAACCCAGGAGGCCUCAGCACGCGGACAAGUUAGUACAACAAAAGGGGGAUAAUAUACUUCCUACCUCACAGGUGGCUGUGAGGACUGAAAUAGAUACUUCACAUGGCCUGCUUAGCACUGUGGUAGGGCACGUAUGAAAGCUUGGUAAAUGGGACUGUUACCUGCAGAAGAUCACACAAGGAUAUGCUCUUGGAAUCACAGAAUUUUGGAUAGAUUCUCUAGCUCAAAAACCUUAAUUUGUAGCUAGGGAAACUAAGCUAAGCCAAAAUUAUUGACUUGCCUGGCAUUUUUCUACCAUUAACGAUUGUUUUUUUUUUUAAGAUUUACAGACCCAGCCAUAAAGGAGGAAGGUGAAGUUUAACCAUACCUUGAUAUUCAAUUACACAGAAGGGUACCAAUAAACCUUGGAAAUGCCAACGCCAAA